rnacentral:rRNA from 1 species
GUAGGGAAUAUUGCACAAUGGGCGAAAGCCCGAUGCAGCAACGCCGCGUGCACGAUGAAGGCCUUCGGGUUGUAAAGUGCUUUUCUGCAGGAAGAGGAAGGACUGUACUGUAGGAAUAAGGAUCGGCUAACUACGUGCCAGCAGCCGCGGUAACACGUAGGAUCCGAGCGUUAUCCGAAUUCACUGGGCGUAAAGCGCUGGUAGGCGGCCGGAUAAGUUGGAUGUAAAAUCUCCUGGCUCAACUGGGAGUUGCCGUUCAAGACUGUCUGGCUAGAGGGCAAUAGAGGGAGGUGGAAUUCCAGGUGUAGUGGUGAAAUGCGUAGAUAUCUGGAGGAACACCAGUGGCGAAAGCGGCCUCCUGGAUUGCAACUGACGCUCAGAAGCGAAAGCUAGGGGAGCGAACGGGAUUAGAAACCCCAGUAGUCC